UUUUCUUUCUCGGUUCUGAUUAAUAAACUCUCUCUAUCUUCUGGAGAGUUCUCAAACGCUCCUCCUUCUCUCUAGAUUCUCUCUACAUUUCUCAUGAUUUUUCGGUUUAAUCUCAAUGUUUAUAUGGUAUCAGAGCCAAGACGACGAUCCGACUGUGUUUAUCUGUAUCUCGUUGUCUUGGAUGAAGUCUGUUUCGAGAUUUUUAGGGGUGUUUCUGAGACCUUAUGGUCGAUGAUGAUUCCGACCUAAAUCGGAUGCUUUUCUGAGAUUUUCUUCGUGAUAUCUGAGUAUAUCUUCUCCACUCGAUUCCGACCUAAAUCGGAUGCUUUUAUGAGAUUUUCUUCGUGAUAUCUCAGUAUAUCUUCUCCAAUCGAACGUUCUGGGAGGUUUUUUGAUGAUUUUUGGGUGAUUUUUCAGUGACCUAUCGGCUUCUGGGUUUCUGGUGGUUUAACCUAGAGUUUUACUGCUUUCCGGUGGUUCGAUUAUCACUCAGUGGAUGUUUUGGGUGCCUUUCCAACAUCACUGACCACACUCCAGUAAGGAUUUUGACGGUUACACCUAGGGUUUUGUACCUAGGGUUUUUUCUGUUGUUUGAAGGCCGAUCUUCUCCGGUCGCGAAGAAGGAGGGUAACUCUGUCCUUANN
rnacentral:lncRNA from 1 species